rnacentral:rRNA from 1 species
CCCGAGGAUGGGACUGCGGCCUAUCAGGCUGUUGGCGGUGUAACGGACCACCAAACCUACAACGGGUACGGGCGAUGGGAGUCGGAGCCCGGAGAUGGGGACUGAGACAAGGCCCCAGGCCCUACGGGGCGCAGCAGGUACGAAAACUCCGCAAUGCGCGAAAGCGUGACGGGGGAACCCCAAGUGCCGUUGGUCUUUGAUCGACGGCUUUUAGGGAGUCUAAGAAGCUCCCGGAAUAAGGGCUGGGCAAGUCGGGUGCCAGCCGCCGCGGUAAUACCCGCAGCCCAAGUGGUGGUCGCGAUUAUUGGGCCUAAAGCGCUCGUAGCCGGGUCAGCAAGUCCCUUGUGAAAUCGGGCGGCCUAACCGUUCGGCUUGCAAGGGAUACUGUUGGUCUUGAGGCCGGGAGACGUCUGAGGUACUCCGGGGGUAGCGGUAAAAUGCUGUAAUCCUUGGGGGACCACCAGUGGCGAAGGCGUCAGACGAGAACGGACCUGACGGUGAGGGGCGAAGGCUAGGGGAGCGAACGGGAUUAGAUACCCCGGUAGUCCUAGCUGUAAAGCAU